CGUUGAAACAUCGGUUCCCGUACGAUCACCGAAGUUAAGCAACGUCGAACCUGAUCACUAUCUAGAUGGGUGACUGCUUGAAAAUACUAGGUGAUGUAAG